GACGAACGCUGGCGGCGUGCCUAAUACAUGCAAGUUGAGCGCUGAAGGCUGGUACUUGUACCAACUGGAUGAGCAGCGAACGGGUGAGUAACGCGUGGGGAAUCUGCCUUUGAGCGGGGGACAACAUUUGGAAACGAAUGCUAAUACCGCAUAAAAACUUUAAACACAAGUUUUAAGUUUGAAAGAUGCAAUUGCAUCACUCAAAGAUGAUCCCGCGUUGUAUUAGCUAGUUGGUGAGGUAAAGGCUCACCAAGGCGAUGAUACAUAGCCGACCUGAGAGGGUGAACGGCCACAUUGGGACUGAGACACGGCCCAAACUCCUACGGGAGGCAGCAGUAGGGAAUCUUCGGCAAUGGACGAAAGUCUGACCGAGCAACGCCGCGUGAGUGAAGAAGGUUUUCGGAUCGUAAAACUCUGUUGGUAGAGAAGAACGUUGGUGAGAGUGGAAAGCUCAUCAAGUGACGGUAACUACACAGAAAGGGACGGCUAACUACGUG
rnacentral:rRNA from 1 species